rnacentral:rRNA from 1 species
GACGAACGCUGGCGGCGUGCUUAACACAUGCAAGUCGAGCGGCAAGGCCCUUUCGGGGGUACACGAGCGGCGAACGGGUGAGUAACACGUGGGUGACCUGCCCUUAGCUCUGGGAUAAGCCUGGGAAACUGGGUCUAAUACCGGAUAUGACUCCAUGACGCAUGUUGUGGGGUGGAAAGCCUUGUGCGGCUAGGGAUGGGCCCGCGGCCUAUCAGCUUGUUGGUGGGGUGANGGCCUACCAAGGCGACGACGGGUAGCCGGCCUGAGAGGGCGACCGGCCACACUGGGACUGAGACACGGCCCAGACUCCUACGGGAGGCAGCAGUGGGGAAUCUUGCGCAAUGGGCGAAAGCCUGACGCAGCGACGCCGCGUGAGGGAUGACGGCCUGG